rnacentral:tRNA from 1 species
GGCAGUGUGGCUCAAAGAAGUAAAGAACCGGCCUCAUAUGCUGGAGGUGGCGGGUUCAAACCCAGCCCCGGCCA